rnacentral:lncRNA from 1 species
AGGAGGGUGAGGAACCUGCUAUGGCUAGAUUUUUAGGUGGUUUAAACCAAAAAAUUCAGGACAUCCUUGCUUAUAAAGAUUAUACUAAUGUAACCCGUUUGUUUCAUCUUGCUUGUAAAGCUAAAAGGGAAGUGUAGGGACGACGUGCUAGCACCAGUCUAAUAUUUCUGUAGGAAAAUCUACAUCAUGGCAGCCACGCAUGACUAUUUUACUGACCGGAUGUGCACCUACACCAACUCACACCGAGUCAACUAGCACUAACUCCUCCAUCCAGCGACAAACCACGUGGUUCUCCCACAAAUUCAGCAACCAAAUCUGUCUAGAAACCAGCCGGUAGUACCUCUUCAGUUGCUUCCACAGGUAGAACAAGAGAUGUUCAUUGUCAUCGUUGCAAGGGCUUUGGACAUAUGCAGCGUGAUUGUCCUAGCAAGCAUGUUUUGGUGGUCAAAGAAGAUGGUGGGUAUUCCUCUACUAGUGAUUUUGAUGAAGAUAGACUUGCUUUGCUUGCGGUUGACAAUGCAGGAAGUGAGGAACGACUAGAAGAACAGAUUGGUGUUGAGGAUGUAGAGCAUUAUGAGAGCCUCAUCGUGCAGCGUGUGCUUCAUCAACAAAUGGAGAGCAGAAUCAGCGGCAUACAUUGUUUCAAACAAAGUGUGUCAUAAAGAGCGUUCUUGUCGCUUGAUCAUUGUUGGAGGUUGCUGCAACAACUUGGCUAGCAGCGAUAUGGUGGAGAAACUUGCACUUACAACCAAACCGCACCCACACCCAUAUCACAUUUGAUGGCUAAACAACAGUGGUAAGGUAAAGGUAACCAAGAUGGUACAAGUUAAUUUUGCUAUUGGUUCGUAUCGUGAUUUUGUUGAAUGUGAUGUUGUGCCUAUGGAAGCUUGUAAUAUUCUACUAGGUAGACCAUGACAAUUUGAUACAGAUUGUAUGCAUCAUGGUAGAUCAAAUUAGUAUUCUGUCAUACACCAUGAUAAGAAAAUUAUUUUGCUUCCUAUGUCUGUUGAAGCUAUUAUGCGUGAUGAUGUUGCUAAAGCUACAAAAGCUAAAACUGAAAACGGUAAACAUACCAAAUCUGUUGGUAAUAAGAAAGAUGAGAUAAGAUUGAAAGGUCAUUGGUUACUUACUACUAAAUCUGAUAUUAAUGAAUUGGUUGUUUCAACUUUUGUUGCCUAUGCUUUGGUAUGCGAGGAUGCUUUGAUCUCCAAUCACGAUAUGCAGCAAUCUUUGCCCGUGCUGUUGCUAACAUUUUGCAGGAGUAUUUUGAUAUUUUUCCAAGUAAGAUACUAGCAGGACUGCCACCAAUACGAGGAAUUGAGCACCAAAUUGAUCUUAUUCCUGAUGCAUCUUUGCCGAACCGUGAGCCAUAUAAAACAAAUCCGGAAGAAACAAAAGAAAUUCAGUGACAAGUGCAAGAACUACUUGACAAAGGUUACGUACAUGAGUCUCUUAGUUCUUGUGCUGUUCCGGUUAUUUAAGUACCUAAGAAAGAUGGAACAUGGCGUAUUUGUGUUAAUUGUAGAGCUAUUAAUAAUAUUACCAUUCGAUAUCAACACCCUAUUCCACGUUUAAAUGAUAUGCUUGAUGAAUUGAGUGGUGCUGUUGUGUUUUCCAAGGUUGAUUUGUGUAGUGGGUACCACUAGAUUCGAAUGAAAUUGGGAGAUGAAUGGAAAACUGCUUUCAAAACUAAGUUCGGUUUAUAUGAGUGGUUAGUCAUGCCUUUUGGGUUAACUAAUGCACCUAGUACGUUCAUGCGAUUAAUGAACGAGGUUUUACAUGCAUUCAUUAGGAAAUUUGUUGUUGUUUACUUUGAUGAUAUACUAAUCUACAACAAAUCCAUGGAUGAACAUCUUGAUCAUUUACGUGCUGUUUUUAAUGCUUUAGGAGAUGCACGCUUAUUUGGUAACCUUGAGAAAUGCACCUUUUGCACCGAUUGAGUGUCUUUUCUUGGCUAUGUUGUGACUCCAUAGGGAAUUGUGGUUGAUAAAGCCAAGGUUGAAGCUAUACAGGGAUGUCCUGUACCAAAGACAAUCACACAAGUGCGGAGUUUUCUAGGACUUGCUGGUUUCUAUCGCCACUUUGUGAAGGAUUUUAGCACCAUCGCUGCACCUUUGAAUGAGCUUACAAAGAAGGGAGUCCCUUUUAACUAGGGCAAUGUGCAAGAUAAAGCCUUCAACAUGCUUAAAGAUAAGUUAACACAUGCACCUCUCCUCCAACUUCCUGAUUUUAAUCAGACUUUUGAGCCUGAAUGUGAUGCUAGUGGAAUUGGAUUGGGUGGUGUUUUGUUACAAUAAGGCAAACCUGUUGCAUAUUUUAGUGAAAAAUUGAGCGGGCCUGUUCUGAAUUAUUCUACUUAUGAUAAGGAAUUGUAUUCUCUUGGUCGCACUUUAGAAACAUGGCAGCAUUAUUUAUUGCCCAAAGAGUUUAUUAUUCAUUCUAAUCAUGAAUCUUUGAAUCAUAUUCAUAGUCAAGGAAAAUUGAACUGUAGAUAUGCUAAGUGGGUUGAAUUUAUUGAAUCUUUUCCUAUGUUAUUAAGCACAAGAAAGGGAAAGAUAAUAUCAUUGCUGAUGCUUUGUCUAGGAGAUAUACUUUGCUGAAUCAACUUGAUUACAAAAUCUUUGGAUUAGAAACAAUUAAAGAUCAAUAUGUUCAUGAUGCUGAUUUUAAAGAUGUGUUGCUGCAUUGUAAAGAUGGGAAAGGAUGGAACAAAUUCAACGUUAGUGAUGGGUUUGUGUUUAGAGCUAACAAGAUAUGCAUUCCAGCUAGCUCCGUUCAUUUGUUGUUGCUGCAAGAAGUGCAUGGAGGUGGCUUGAUGGGGCAUUUUGGAGCAAAGAAAAUGGUGGACAUACUUGCUGGUCAUUUCUUUUGGCCAAAGAUGAGAAGAGAUGUGGAGAGAUUUAUUGCUCAUUGCACGACAUGUCAAAAGGCUAAGUCACGGUUAAAUCCACAUGGUUUGUAUUUGCCUCUACCUGUUCCUAGUGCUCCUUGGGAAGAUAUUUCUAUGGAUUUUGUGUUGGGUUUGCCAAGGACUAGGAAGGGAUGUGAAAUUGUGUUUGUGGUUGUUGAUAGAUUUUUUAAGAUGGCACAUUUCAUACCAUGUCAUAAAACUGAUGAUGCUACUCAUAUUGUUGAUUUGUCCUUAUGAGAAAUUGUUGGUUUGCAUGGUGUGCCCAACACAAUUUUUUAUGAUCGUGAUGCUAAAUUUCUUAGUCGUCAUUUUUGGAAGGCUUUAUGGGCAAAAUUGGGGACUAAGAUUUUGUUUUCUAGUACAUGUCAUCCCCAAACUGAUGGUCACACUGAAGUUGAGAAUAGGACUUUGUCUACUAUGUUAAGGGCUGUUUUAAAGAAGAACAUUAAGAUAUAGGAAGAUUGUUUGCCUCAUAUUGAAUUUGCUUAUAACUGCUCGCUGCAUUCUACUCCAAAGAUGUGCCCGUUUCAGAUUGUUUAUGGUUUAUUGCCUCGUGCUCCUAUUGAUUAAUGCCUUUGCCAUCUUCUGAAAAACUAAAUUUUGAUGCUACUAAGCAUGCUGAAUUGAUGUUAAAACUGCAUGAAACAACUAAAGUAAACAUAGAGUGCAUGAAUGCUAAAUAUAAGUUUGCUGGUGAUAAAGGUAGAAAGGAACUAAAGUUUGAACUUGGAGAUUUAGUUUAGUUGCAUUUGAGAAAGGAAAGGUUUCCUAAACUGCAAAAAUCUAAAUUGCUGCCUCAAGCUGAUGGACCGUUUAAAGUGCUAGAGAAAAUUAAUGACAAUAAAUAUAAGCUAGAUCUGCCUGCAGACUUUGAGGUUAGUCCCACUUUCAACAUUGUAGAUUUAAAGCCAUAUUUGGGAGAGGAAGCUAAGCUGGAGUCGAGGAUGACUCCAAUGCAAGAAGGGAAGGAUGACGAGGGCAUCAACAUCAACGAUACAUCACACCUAGACAAGCACCAAUUAUUUCUGGUCCUAUUACUCGUGCCCGUGUUCAUCAACUUAAUGAUCAGGUGAGUUCAUUCUUGAGUUCAUGUUCAUCAUGUUUAGACCGUGGAGACACGUGCACUCUUGUUUUGCUUAGGAACCAAGGAGAAGAUCGAAAGGGAAAUGAAUUCGCGUAGGUUGGAUUCGGACUGCAGAACAACACCAACUUGUGAAGGUCACCAUGGUCGCAUACGAACUCGGAUUGGAGCAUUCAAGUACUUCAUGGAAAGUGCCCUUGUGCUGAAAAUGAAUGGGGCUCUCGAGAAGAGAGGAGCAGCAAAGCCCCCGCCCCCUCCUGGACCGCUGAAGUCCUCUUUUCAAUGGAUCUAGCCUCAAGUUUAUAUCUGCUUAGAGUCGUCCACAAUCGUUGAUUUAUUGCAGACACCUUUUCUUCCACGGUGCUGCAUCACCUUAUUUUUGUCCAACGGGCCAUGUAUCAAGUUGGGUCCAUUAGGGACGCAUCCUAGGGUUGGAGCACAACCCUAGCACCCCUAUGGUCAACCUCUCGCCGUCUUAUACCCCUUAGCUGCCACUAGGAACACUUGGGUUUUGUUUAGAUCAAGUUUAGCUCUCGCUACUUACUUAUAAGCGUGCGUGCUAGAUCAGCCACCCAUCUUCCUAUCUUCGGAACCCCGUCAUAAUUGAGAUUGAGUUUGAAACCUUCAUUUACAUCUAGUAAUUUAGUACUUGUUCUACUUGUUCUUGCUAGUUCUUCGAUUGCUUGCAGGACAAGUGCUCUAGUGGCUGGGCGUCACGCUCCACAAGAUCAUGAUAGCCAUUGGAGGUGGUGUAUCAGUUGCUAAGGCGCAGUGCCCUUGGAAGGCUGUAAUCGGACCAUGAACGUCGUCUCCAUCUACCAUCGAGUUAUCCCAUGUCCUCUCAUCGAAAGAUUGAGAAUCAACCCAAAUGGUUCACAUUACUAGUCGGUGUGGACUCCCAUGGCCUCUUCUAGCGCGGGUGGUGGUGGCGUGUCCCCCUGGGGGUAUUGCCUGCCGCAUCGGGCUUUGGAUCUUGCCGGAUGGAUGGCUCUUGUGCGUCAUUGACGAAGACGCCUGGAGGCGUCGUGCCUCGGUCGGAUGCCAGCUUUGCUAGGAAGUCUGCUGCCUCGUUGUCACACCAGAGGAUGUGCUGCAGCUCGAGCCUGUCAAACUUCUCCUCCAGCUUCCAAACCUCCCGGCAGUAGGCUACCAUCUUCACAUUUGAACAUGAGGAUUCCUUCAUCACUUGGUCGACCAUCAACUCUAAGUUGCCCUGGACGUACAAACGAUGAACACCCAGGUCGGACGCGAUCCUUAGGCUGUUGACAAGCGCCUCGUAUUCAGCUACGUUGUUUGACACUUGAAAAUGGAGCUGGAUUGCAUAACGAAAGCGGUCCCCUUGUGGGGAGAUGAGCACGACCCCAGCCCCCAUGCCCUUUCCCUUGAGGGACCCGUCAAAGUACAUCGUCUAGUACUCAGUGAUGGUCAGAGGCGGGGGAGAUUGAGUUUCAGUCCACUCAGCAAGGAAGUCAGCAAGGACUUGCGACUUGAUCGUGGUCCUCAGGAGGUAGGAUAUCUGGUGCCCCAUGAGCUCCAGGGACCACUUGGCAAUGCACUCUGAUGCUUUGCGACUCUGGAUGAUUACCCCAGUGGCAUCGCCAUUACCACUGAAAUGGGGUGACUCUCAAAGUAGUGGAGGAGCUUGUGCUUGGUGAUGAGGAUGGUGUAAAUCAGCUUCUGGACCUACGGGUAUCUCUUCUUGGUGUCCGAGAGGACCUCGCUAACAAAAUACAGCGGUCCUGGACCUUAAGCGCGUGCCCUUCCUCCUCUUGCUUCACCACCAGUGCGGCGCUGACAACCUAGGUAGUUGCGGCCACAUAGAGUAGGAGGGGUUCGUCCAGGUUGAUGCAAAUAGAGUGGGGGGCGAGGCAAGAAACUCCUUCAGAUGAUCGAGCUCCUGCUGGGCCUCUUCCAUCCAUCGGAACUGAUUCGAUUUCUUGAGGAGCUUAUAGAGUGACAUCCCAUGUUCUCCCAGUCGGGAGAUGAACCAGCUGAGCGAGGCUAGGCACCCCAUCAGUUUUUGCACGCCCUUGAGUGCGGUGAUAGGGCCCAAAUUCUGUAUGGCUGCUAUCUUCUUGGGGUUCGCUUUGAUUCCCCAUUCGGACACGAUGAAUCCCAAAAGCUUUCCCUUGGGAACCUCAAAGAUGCACUUCUCAGGGUUCAACUUGAUGUUAUAGAGGCGGAGGCUCGUGAACAUGCGCUCGACGUUGCUGACCAGCUGGUUGGCCUUUCUCAACUUGCCUAUGAUGUCAUUGAUGUAAACCUCAACGAUCUCUCCAAUGAGAACGUCGAAGCACCUGUUCAUGCACCACUGGUAAGUGGACACAGCGUUCUUGAGCCCGAACGGCAUUGUCAUGUAACAAUACGUCUCGAACAGGGUGAUGAACGAGGUCGGAACUGGUCAGACUCCCUCAUCGCUAUUUGAUGGUAACCAGAGUACGUGUCGAGGAACGACAGGACUUCACACCCUGUGGUGGAAUCGACCACCUGAUCGAUGCGAGGAAGGGGUAGGGCACCGUGGGACACCUUUAUUUAGGCUUGUGUAAUCGACACAUAUAUCCCAUUUCCCGCUCUUUUUUUGGACAAGAACCAGGUUAGCUAUCCACUCUGGGUGGAACACCUCUUUUAUAAACCCGGCACCUAGGAGUUGGGCGACCUCCUCCCUAAUUGCCCUAUGCUUCUCGUCAUCGAACCAGCGCAAAUGCUGCUUGGCCGGUCUUGCUUCCGGUCGGAUGUCGAGUUUGUGCUCGGCAACUUCUCUCGGGAUUCUAGGCAUGUCAGAGGGCUUCCAUGCAAAUAUAUCCUAGUUCGCGCGGAGAAAUUCGAUGAGCGUGGAUUCCUACUCAGAAGGGGUCCAAUUUCUGGAUUUGCCGGAUUGUCGCUCGGUACGUCACCAGCAAUCUAAUCCACUAGAUCGGCAGCAUGAUCUUGUUGAGCAAGAGGAUUCAGAGCAUCAGCGCCAGCUAUUUCUUCUGUGCUCAUCAGUCUAGCAGUACUUCUAAUUCGAGCCACUAUAUGUAUUAGAACCAGGCACGCAUAAGAAAAUGCCCAAAAUAAAUGGAAAAUUGCAUCAACUUAAGGAAUGAACAUCACCUUUGCAUAUUCGGCAAAAGAUGAGGCUAAAGUGAAGCACGAAUCUCAAAGCAUGAGAAUUAGGGCAACGGAGGUCCCUUCCAAAGCAACGACACGGAAAAGUUACCAAACCCUCCCUCUGUUUAUAGGCACGAACAGGUGUCAUUUCAUAACCUCGCCCAACGGUAAAAAAGCAAGGUAAAAAAAGUGAAUUAUCUACCUUCAUUGCGAGACCCAAUUUAGUGAGUGAGGAGAUGUUUUUUGCCCUUGAUCGAGAUCUCCCGAUGUUUUGAGGGUUCGGCCCGUUGGAAUUGGACCUCACCCCCGAGGGGCUACUGUUGGGGAUCUUGAUCAAGGUCUUAAAACAUCACCUUCGCAUACUAAAUAAAGGGGUUGAUCAACCAUUUCGGCAAUCAAACCAGUCAUCACCUUCGCUGGAAGUCAACACCUAUACGCCUUCAAUUACUUUCACACAUCAAUUAGUGGCAUUCGUUCGCUGACCACCUUUGCCACGGAGUGGGCGAAGGUGGAGGCUAUUUGUUUCCAUUUGGUUGCAGGUGCGCGGAUUCAUUUCGACUGAGAAAGAACGCCGUCUGAAUCAGGAAAGAGCAAGCGAAAAUCCAUGGUGCCCUCACUUCCCGAAGUCUAAGGAGCAUGGAUUCGCUCGGACGAAAGUGUUGGGGAAAGCAGAGAUAUUUCAAAUGUGACCCCGAUGGCGUGGAAGGCGUGACCCCAUUGGAGUGUACAAAUCGAUUUAGGACUCCUGCGUCAUUUUGAUGACCUCGUCCAAUGAUAAAAAAGUGAGGUCAAAAAAGUAAAUUAACUACCUUGGUUGCGAGACUCAAUUCAGUGAGUGAGGGAGACAUUUUUUGCCCUUGAUCAAGAUCUCUCAAUGUUUCGAGGGUUCGACAUGCUGGAAUUGGACCUCGUCCCCGAGGGGCUACUGUUGGGGAUCUAGAUCAAGGUUUUAAAACAUCACCUUCGCACGCUGAAUAAAGGGAUUGAUCAACCAUUUCGACAAUUGAACCCGUCAUCACCUUCACUGGCAGUCAACACCUCCGCGCGUUCAAUUACUUUCACACAUCAAUUAGUGGCAUUCGUUGGCUGACCACCUUUGCCAUGGAGUGAGCGAAGGUGGAGACUAUUUAUUUCCAUUUGAUUGCAGGUGCGCGGAUUCAUUUCGACAGAGAAAGAACGCCGACUGAAUUAGGAAAGACCAAGCGAAAAUCCAUGGUGCCCUCGCUUCCCGGAGUCUAAGGAGCACGAAUUCGCUCGGACGAAUGUGUUAGUGAAAGCAAUCACAUUUCAAAUGUGACCCCAACGGCGUGGAUGGUGUGACCUCGUUGGAGUGUACAAAUCGGUUUAGAACUCUUUUUUUAUCAUUAUGUACAGCAUAUUCCUAGAAUGUAGUGAUUGAGUGAGGCUAGGUUCGGUAUGUAAAAGUCAGCAUCCCUAUCAAAGGGGAGGCACCCCUGUUGUACAAGGGUUCGUAUUUUUUUGAGAAAUACAAGCUCUGAGAGCAUUUAGUUUUCCACUUGUGUGUUCCUAAUCAUAGUUUUUGGGAAAGAGCUUGCUCUGCACCUAACACCCGGCACACCCUGCCACCCAGAGAGGGGACGAGAGGAGGCGCGGGUUCUAAGCGAGGGGAUGGGGACGGUAUUUAUAGGGAGGGGCGAGGGCCUUGGCGCGGUGGAUAAGGAGAGCCGGCCGGGGUGGAGGCUUACCAGGAUGGCCAUGGCAGUUUUGGCGAGGUGGUUUCUGCUGCGAAGCUUCACUUGGCCAAGGGGAAAGCACGGCGGCAGCGGGGAUAAGGUGGCCGGGGUGGCUCUGGCAGUGGGUGGCAGGCGGCUGUCGGGUUGGGGUGGUUUUGCAGGGGAGUGGGUGGUUUUGGGGAGGGCAGAAAGGGCAGUGGCGAUGGGGGAAUGGACCUGGCGUGUGGCGCGGCGGAGCGGUGGUGCGACGCGGCGGCGCUGGGGGAGCUGCACCGGAUCGGCGGCGCAGGCAGGUGGCGGGGGUGCGAGUGAGGGCAGGCCGGACCGCGUGCUGGCGGGCUGAGUGGCUGGGCCGCAGAGCGGAGUUGGGCCGAGGAGGUAGGCUGGUAGGCGGGCCGAGGGGAGCUGGGCCGCAUGGCCGGUUGGGCUAGAGGCACGCGCGCUUGAGGUGGGCCGUGGAACGAAGGUGGCUGGUUGCGCAGGGGUUGGGCCGGAAUGGGAGUUGCUCGGCUCAUGAGAGGUUUAAGGGUUUCUAUUGAUUUGAGUAAGAUUUGUAAUUUAAAUUUGAAUUGGUUUUCAAAAUUGGCUGGGAUUUGAGAUGUGGGCUGGGAUAGGGUACAGAAAUGGGACUUUUAAAAGGAUCCUCAAGUUAGGAAUAUUUGACUGAGAUGAGAUGGGAAUCCUAUAGGGUUUUGGUUGCUAUUAAUACUCAAAUGGAAUUUGAAUAUUAUUUCUAGGUUUUGCGAGAGGAAGGAUUUGGAAAUUUCUAUUUCUAAAAGGGGUUCUAAGGGAAACAAUCACGUGCAACACAUAUGCUAAUAUUUUGUGCAAGAUUUAUUUAUAAAAAGGUUUUGAAUAUUCGGGAAGAAGGUAUGUGUUUAGUUUAAGAAAAAAUUUAAAAAGUACGUAUUUUAAAUGCUCUAAAACGUGGACGUUACAUUUUAUGUUGUAUUCCUGUUGAUGUACAUCUCACACGUAUCAACCGCAAUUGUAUUGUACAUGUUACCUCAUCAAAAAUUUAUGUGAGGAAACCUUCAAGUGAAAAUUCAUAAAGAGAAAAAGAGUACAACAUUAAAUCUUCUUAGCUAUAUAAUAUUCUAUAUUUGCUAUUCUUUAUAUGAAUAGUAAUCAAUCUUCAAGCUUUAUACAUAAACUUCAUGAUUCUUGCAAUAAAGAUCUGCAUGAUCUAAAUAAUCAAGUGGUAUAGCUUCAUGUUAAAAUUCAAUAAUUAAUCAAGUUGAUUCCUUCUAGAUAUAAUUUAAAAGACUUUAGAUCUAAACAUGAUUAAAGAUAUGCUCCCCUCCUAGCGACAUCUUUUGAAUGUGUUCAAAAUGUCUUAGUCACAUUCUUCAUAAAUGCAUAAGAUGGAGGAACCGCAUCUUUCCCGCAAUCGGCCAUUGCUGCGUGCUGCAUCAACCUCCAUGGAUCCUUAUUGAAAACUACUCUCCCGUGGCCUCUUCCACGACGUGACUCUACUCUCCCGUGGCCUCUUCCCGCAGACGCAGAGGCCUGCAGCCGUGUUGAAACCCGGCGGGGACCGUACCACUUUGGCUUCGAUGUCGCCAAUUCCUCGCUGUCCCGUGCUCCAGGUUCACUAGCAGCCGCGUGAGAAAAACUGGCGGGGCUCGCCGCGCCGAGAAAAAUCUCGCCACACAGCUCACGAGUCACGACGGACACCGAGAGGCCGAGACCGCAGAGGCAAGGAAAGCCGCAAGCGGCGUUGGCGAGAGGCGGCCAAGCGGAAGCUAGCUGCCAGCGUGGAUCGCCAUCCCGCCCCGUCGUCCAGAAGAUAAGGAGCGCCGCUAGGUGCCGACACGUCGCGCCGGACGAGAUAAGGAUAGGCCAGCCUGGCCGGGUGACGCCACCGGCGAACGGUGUCCACUCCUGCCACAUCCGGCCAUGGAGCCGCUGGCUAUUUAUAUACGCCGCCGGUGGAGAGGAGCCUCUCAAGCAAGACUGCCUCUUCUUCUCCUUCGUAAAUACAGUACUAGUAAGCGUAUACUAGCACUAGCUAGUAAGCCAUGGCGCCGACCGUGAUGGCCUCCUCGGCCACCUCCGUGGCUCCAUUCCAGGGGCUCAAGUCCACCGCCGGACUCCCCGUCAGCCGCCGCAUCAGUAGCACCGGCUUCGUCAGCAACGGCGGAAGGAUCAGGUGCAUGCAGGUAAUAUAAUCGAUCGAUCUAGACACUGGAAUUCUUGCUGUUACGUUGUUCAUAUAAAUAAUACAACUCAAUAGGAAGUUUAGGAACUGAUAUGAGAGUGUCGUUGCUCAGGUGUGGCCGGCGGAGGGCAACAAGAAGUUCGAGACCCUCUCCUACCUGCCACCUCUCUCAACCGACCAGCUCCUGAAGCAGGUCGAGUACCUGAUCCGGAACAACUGGAUCCCCUGCCUCGAGUUCAGCAAGGUCGGGUUCGUCUUUCGUGAGAACAGCAGGUCUCCCUGUUACUACGACGGGCGCUACUGGACCAUGUGGAAGCUGCCCAUGUUCGGCUGCACCGAGGCCACCCAGGUGUACGCUGAGCUCGAGGAGUGCAAGAAGGCCUACCCUGACUGUUACAUCCGUGUCAUCGGCUUCGACAACCUCAGGCAGGUGCAAUGCGUCCUGUUCAUCGCCUACAAGCCCCCGGGCAGCGAGUAGACCGGCGCCGCCAAAUAAAAAGCUUAAAUACUGAGACUCUUCAGCUCCUGCAUGGGCAACCAUGAAGUGUCUGUUCGUUUUUUUUUUUGCUUCGUGUCACCUUGAUUUUGUUUUUUUUUUCCUUGCUUGCUUCUGCUGUAUCCAUGGCAUGCAUGCGGAUCUCUCCCCCCAACCGGAGAGUUAUCUACAUAGGACUAGCUACUAUACAACUAUCGAUCGUUGGGUGAGGAACAUGUGAAUGCUAGCUCCGGCUAUGAUAUGUAAUAUGGAUACUAGAGCAUACCCUGCCAAUCCGCCGACAAUACUAGAUCAUGGUUAAUUACUGGUGUUUUUGUCUAAUUUUUGUGUAUCUUUGCUCAAACUUACGCUUCUACGUAAAUCAAAUGUCAUGUAUCAGAUCAGUUGAGGAAAUAAAGGCUUACAAUACCUGUCCUUUUUAUUACCCCCGGUCAGAGUUGCAUACUUGCAACAAAUGAUUUGACAGUAAUUAUAAUUUGAUGGACUUAUAAAUUCUAGCUAGUUAAAGAGGAUGAGGCCAUUGAGUUCAAACACAUACUUUGUGAAUGAAAUGGAAAAUGUAUGUAUAAUUCAAAUAAGAACAAUGAAGUCAUUGAUACGACAAGUGCAAAGGCAGUGUGUUUUAUAUUUUAGAUCAUGCAUAGAGGUAAGAAUCAUACAACCACGCUCUUGUGUCUCCACUCCAUGAGAGAAGUCCUAGUAUCUAUCGGAGUGAAGAGUGAACUGUGUGAACAAGUUUCUUAAUUUUGAACAGAAUCAAUAUAGUAGUAAAUUGAUAUAGAAUAAUGCCAAGUCAGCAACUCAGCUUGCCACCACAUAUUCAUAGAUCGAUAGCACCAAAAGGCAGAUGACGAUGACCCUAAAAGGAUGUGAGACGAAAUAGGCCACGUGCGUCACUGCUUUUGAUUGGGCUCGUAGUAGUCAAUCUAGGCAUUCCCAUACCAUCCGACCUUGGAUAUUUUUAGGGCAUUUAGUUACUCAAGGUAACGAAUUACAUUUAAUGGUAAAUCGAUCGCUACGGGAGGAAGGAACUUUCGUCCACUCCGUUAGUACCGGUUGGAAUUAGCACCAGUAGAAAACACACCUUCCAUGCGCUUACUUUUAUCUCAGUUUAAAGUUGGCCCAGGACAAAAAGGGGCGUACCACGGUAAGUUGAAAUGGGGUGGAGUUUUAGUCACGGUUGGCAUUUGCAACCGGGACUAAAGUCCCCCUUUAGUCCCAGUUGUAACGGCUAGUUACCAGCCACCAACGGCGCUCCCCUUUUGUCCCGGUUGGAGCUUCCAACCGGGACAAAAGCACACCCCUUUUGUCCUGGUUGGAGUUACCAACCGGGACAAAAGGUUUACUCCCGGUUGGUAACUCCAACCGGGAUAAAACGGGGAGCUGUUUGUCCCGGUUGGUGUUUCCAACCGGGAGUAAACUCCCAACCAGGAUAAAAGGGGUUUGUUUUUGUCCCGGUUGGAAUUUUCAACCGGGACAAAAACUCCUCCCCUAUAAAAUCGUAAGACAGAGGCCUCUUCUUCCUCCUUCAGCCCGGGCCACUCCACUCCACAAGACAGAGAGCUUCAUCCUCCUUUCCAUGGCACCGAAGCAAGCCUAGGGGAGGUGCUGCCCAAAUUUUUUUCCUUAUUUCCGUGGGGAUUUUACUCAUCCAAAGUGUUGUGAAGGUUAGCUACUUCAUUCUCCUUUCAUUUAUUGUUAUUAUGCUUUAGAGAGGGAGAAAAAUGAGUUGGUUAGAAUGAGGAAGAAUGGAGAGGAUGUGUGUAUGCAAGCAGUGCUAAGGUAUGAAUUUUUGUACAUAUAGAUGGCUUCUGCUGCUGGAGGUAGUGGCAAUGGUGGGGGCGAUCAUCGUUCCUCUCGUGGCAAGGGGAAAAGCAUAGUUGGCCCGUGUGAUAAGCCAGAGAAAAUGAGCAUGUGGGAGAAAGCAAUGCUUCGUUAUUUGCAAAUAUGUCAUGAAGAUGCUAUUGCGGUGGGUCAGGAACCUCCUUUUGGUGGUCGUUAUGCUCUACCACCAGUCCCGGGUGUUUCACGUCCACUUAGUACUACCGUUGCAGGAGGCACAAAUAAACUACAGGAUGAGGCUGGGUCAGCGAAACCUUUGUCUUCGCCACCCAAGGAUGCUUAAAGUGAUCCUAGAUAGUACUCAGUGGAUGGUUUGUCAUAGUGCACCAUGUUGUUUGGAUCUGAAAUUUGAAUAUAUGUAUUUCUAUAUAUAUCUAAACUUUUAGCAUCAUUUGCACUACAAUGUUUGACAUGAUUUCAAUCGUGAAUAGCAUGUAGAUAAGUCGUAAAGCGUAUCAAAUAACCAUCAAUAUGAUGCGAAACGGAAAUGACACACUUACUCGCAAGAAGAGAAUAUAAUAUUUGUAAUCAUUGAAGAAUGAAGAAACAAUAUAUUUGAAUUGGUAAAAAAACAACUACCAUAUAACAUAAUAUUUAUAAUGUUGGCAAGAUAUUAGAGACCUGCAUGCUAAAAAUCAUAAUAAAAUUAGCUAUGUACAACAAAAAUAAAAAAAGAAAAAAA